rnacentral:rRNA from 1 species
UACGUAGGGGGCAAGCGUUGUCCGGAAUCAUUGGGCGUAAAGCGCGUGUAGGCGGUCCGGUAAGUCCGCUGUGAAAGUCGGGGGCUCAACCCUCGGAUGCCGGUGGAUACUGUCGGGCUUGAGUACGGAAGAGGCGAGUGGAAUUCCUGGUGUAGCGGUGAAAUGCGCAGAUAUCAGGAGGAAUACCAAUUGCGAAGGCAGCUCGCUGGGACGUUACUGACGCUGAGACGCGAAAGCGUGGGGAGCAAACAGG